GAUGAACGCUGGCGGCGUGCCUAAUACAUGCAAGUCGAGCGAACAGACGAGGAGCUUGCUCCUCUGACGUUAGCGGCGGACGGGUGAGUAACACGUGGAUAACCUACCUAUAAGACUGGGAUAACUUCGGGAAACCGGAGCUAAUACCGGAUAAUAUAUUGAACCGCAUGGUUCAAUAGUGAAAGACGGUUUUGCUGUCACUUAUAGAUGGAUCCGCGCCGCAUUAGCUAGUUGGUAAGGUAACGGCUUACCAAGGCAACGAUGCGUAGCCGACCUGAGAGGGUGAUCGGACACACGGGAACUGAGACACGGUCCAGACUCCUACGGGAGGCAGCAGUAGGGAAUCUUCCUCAAUGGGGGAAAGCCUGACGGAGCAACGCCGCGUGAGUGAUGAAGGUCUUCGGAUCGUAAAACUCUGUUAUUAGGGAAGAACAAAUGUGUAAGUAACUAUGCACGUCUUGACGGUACCUAAUCAGAAAGCCACGGCUAACUACGUG
rnacentral:rRNA from 1 species